rnacentral:lncRNA from 1 species
CCUCCGUCGUCCCCUUCUCCUUGUGCCCUCAAUCUUUCCCAACAUCCGGUCUUUCCAGGGAGUCUUCUCUUCUCAUGAGGUGGCCAAAGUAUUGGAGCCUCAGCUUCACGAUCUGUCCUUCCAGUGAGCACUCAGGGCUGAUUUCCUUAAGAAUGGAUAGGUUUGGUCUUCUUGCAGUCCAUGGGACUCUCAAGAGUCUCCUCCAGACCAUAAUUCAAAAGCAUCAAUUCUUUGGCGACCAGCCUUCUUUAUGGUCCAGCUCUCACUUCCAUACAUCACUACUGAGAAAACCAUGGCUUUAACUAUACGGACUUUUGUUGGCAAGGUGAUGUCUCUGCUUUUUAAGAUGCUGUCUAGAUUUGUCAUUGCUUUUCUCCCAAGAAGCAGGCGUCUUAUAAUUUUGUGGCUGCUGUCACCAUCUGCAGUGAUCAUGGAGCCCAAGAAAGUAAAAUCUCUCACUGCCUCCAUUUAUUCCCCUUCUAUUUGCCAAGAGGUGAUGGGACCAGUGGCCAUGAUCUUGGUUUUUUGAUGUUGAGCUUCAGACCAUAUUUUGCGCUCUCCUCUUUCACUCUCAUUAAAAGGUUCUUUAAUUCCUCCUCACUUUCUGCCAUCAAGGUUGUGUCAUCUGCAUAUCUGAGGUUGUUGAUGUUUCUUCCGGCAAUCUUAAUUCCGGCUUGGGAUUCAUCCAGCCCAGCCUUUCGCAUGAUGAAUUCUGCAUAUAAGUUAAAUAAGCAGGGAGACAAUAUACAGCCUUGCCGUACUCCUUUCCCAAUUUUGAACCAAUCAGUUGUUCCAUAUCCAGUUCUAACUGUAGCUUCUUGUCCCACAUAGAGAUUUCUCAGGAGACAGAUGAGGUGAUCAGGCACUCCCAUUUCUUUAAGAACUUGCCAUAGUUUGCUGUGGUCGACACAGUCAAAGGCUUUUGCAUAGUCAAUGAAGCAGAAGUAGAUGUCUUUCUGGAACUCUCUAGCUUUCUCCAUAAUCCAGCGCAUGUUUGCAAUUUGGUCUCUGGUUCCUCUGCCCCUUCGAAAUCCAGCUUGCACUUCUGGGAGUUCUUGGCCCACAUACUGCUUAAGCCUGCCUUGUAGAAUUUUAAGCAUAACCUUGCUAGCAUGUGAAAUGAGUGCAAACCAAAAUCCUCAUGCUAGGGAUGGUACUACUCAGGGGCAAAACUAAGCUUUAUUUCACCCAGGUCAAAGACCCAGUUUUGCAUGCACAGCCCACACACUUUUGUGUACACACACACACAAAGGUUGAGAACCUCAAGGGCACCCUUCUGGAGCCUUCACCAGGGGCAAAAAACACAGCUAGCCCCCUUAUAGCUACAGCUCUGGUGCUACUGAACCAGCACUUCCCACUCGUCCAGCUUUCCAUGCACUGGUCAGGACACUAAGGCUGGGAUUCAACUAAGUUGUUGUAUGUGAGGAACAAGGUCCCCUAACACAAUAGUCUUCCUGUCUCUCCUCCCCCAUGUCUCUAAAAUCUGCUCUGGAAGGUUGGAGGAGCUGGGGGGUGGGUCAAGGUGAGGAGGGGAAAAAUCUCAUUGCAUGAGCAGACCUCGUUCCCUAUGCACACUUGGAACUAAAUGAAAUUCCAUCUUGAUGGCUCAUUGUUUGGGAUCUAAAGCUCAGUGACUCAAAGAUUCCCUAAACAGACACAACCUUGCGUUGAAAUUCCAGAAGAUGGUAUUGGUAGACUUAGGCAUCCAUCUAUUGUUCAAAAGUCCUCAUGUUAUUCAAUACUAACAUGAAGUCACUGAGUAAGGUCAGAGGUUUCGUCUGUCAUUUCCAGUCAAGCCAGGUGAUGCUGAUCAGGUGUUUGAAAGCAGUAAUGGGCUGGAUGAAGUGUAUGCCCAGGGAAGUGGUGUUCAGCCAGCUCUGGAGGGGGCUGCACUCUCCUUGAAGGAUCAUGUUCACAGUCUUGAGGUGCUAUUUGAGUUAUCUUUCUCACCCGAGACGCAAGUAGUCUCUGUGGCACCAAGGGCCUUCUAUCAGUUGUGGCUGAUACACUGACCGCAACCCACUCUUGGACAUGAGUAGUUUGGCCAUAGUUACCAGUGCUUGGUAAUGUGUAGGCUGGAUUACUGCAAUGUGUAUUUCAUGUGGCUGCCACUGAAGACAGCAUGGAACCUGUAGCUAUGCUGCUAGGUUGCUAAUAGGGACCAAAUGAAGAGAUUGUAUUUUGCCUAUAUUAAAACAACUCCACUGGCUCCUGGUAAAUUUAUGAGCACAAAUCCAAGUUCUGGUCUUAAUCUUUAAAGCCUUGCAAUGGAUUAGGACCCAAAUACCUGUUGGAGUGUCUUCUCCCAACAUCAAUCUUCUAAUCCACUGAGAUUAUCAACUGACACCUUUUCUUGUGGUGCGAUCUGAAGUGCAGUGUGUUGUUACUGAAAAAGGGAGUCUUUUCAGUGUCUGCUCCAGAGAGAUCUGUUACCUUCACAACCAUCAUUUUAUGUACUGGCCACAAAUAUUUCUGUUUUCCCAGACCUGUAAGAGCCGAAGCAUUUAAAAUAUAGAUAGAACACAUUUGACUUUGUUGUCCAUUUGAACAGACUGUUGCUGUUUUAGUGUGUUGUUUUACUUUGUACACUUUACAUUUUAAAGUUUUGUUUUUAUUGCACAUUAAUUGUAUCUUACAACUCUGUUAGCUAUGCUAGUAGCAAAAAAAAAAAAAAGCAUGGGACAUAAAUUGUGCAAACAAACAAACAAACGGCAUUUGAGGAAUCAAAACAUUUUCCAAAGGCAGGUGGGGUGGAGCUGCAGAGUUCUGUACCACUUGCCAUGUUUGGGAUGCUUUCUCAGCAUCAGCAGUACAAACCUAUGAAAAUGUGAUUGCAGUAUGAACAAGAAGUUGAAAAAUACAGAGAUGACGAUAAAUGUUCUGCAUUUUAAACAAGCUCUUACAUAAAUACAUUGGAAGCACCAAUCAGAGUUCUGAUCACCUGCAAGAUAUAUGCAACUCAGAGAGGCUAUCCCCUCCCAGGCCAUGCAGAUGAGCAGGAUUAGAAAGGGAGAAAGUGCUGCCAUCGAACAAAAAUAGUGAGUCACUUCAAACCCCUGUUGCUAUCUCCUCUUUAAUGAGAGACUUCCGUUGUGCUUCCUGUUUUCCAGAUAGCAUUGCUGACUGCAGCAAUGUUUGGAAUUGCAUUAAAUUAUACUUGUCAAGAUUAAAAUUUCGAACUCAUGGAACAUUUCAAGUAAUUUAUUAAUAGACACAAGUCUGGUGCUCAUUGCAGUGCUAAGUGCCUAGGAAGCACAUUUUGUGUCUGAAUCAGAAGUUAAGCCAGCAUCAGAGACUUCUGAAAAUAAUGUGUGAGGUGUACAUUUAUCAAACUUCUCAUUCAGUUCAGCUUUCAGGAAAAAACCUCAAAAGCUGUCAACUGCAAUACCUUAUUUUUUCCAAACCUUUUGCACAACCUGUACUUACUCCCACAACAUGCAGCAUCUUCAUCCUGGCUUUUCAGUUUAGUUCAUUACUUUUCCUUGUCAUUUGUCAUUGUCACUCAGGGUUUUGUUGCGUCAAUAAAUCAGAUACUUUUAAUCAGCAACUUAGAAGCACUUAGCAUUUUUUAACAUAAAAAAGCAGUGUCCAAAAAUGACUUGGCGUGCAGUUCUCUGGGGAAGAAGGGCAACACUUGCCUCCCACCCAAAGUGACUAAGCAGUCUUGAUGUGGCAGCAACUGCGGUCUUAUUCCGAUAAGAUAGAUCUAACAAUUUAUAUUAUAUCUAUAUAAUACAGAGCAAAGUCUUCCGUGAAUAGAAAUGAAGCUACACAUACCACUGAUUUUUCUAAUAAUAGAUAACUAUAUACCAGCAAAUUCUUGGAAAUACUUGCUAUACUUUGUGAUCAUGCCAGUUUGUGGAAACAAUUUGUGGGCUCCCCACAGGCAUCUGGUUGGCCACCUUGAACAGGGUGCUGGACUAGAUGGGUCCUUAGCCUGUUCCAUUAGGGUUUAUUUCCUUGAUCUAUGGUGUCUACUUGGGAUAUGGAUAUGCACACAUGUCCGACAGACUAGCAUGCCACUGGGAAGUCUGGAAUGAAAACAGUAUAACAGUUUAUGCCACAUCAGACUAUUUGUCUAACUGGUAUCUCAGUAUUGUCUACCUUGACUAGCAACAGUUCUCUAGGGUCUCAGGCAGAGAAGGGUCUUUCCCAUCACCUGAUGCUUUUGGAUUGGAAAUACCAGGAACUGAACCUGGAACCUUCAUGCGAAAUCCUUGCUAUGGUCUCUACUCCCAAAAUGCAGUCCUGGUUCUUUCCAUGCCUUCGCUCGUAUCAUAUUUGAGAGGUGGAAUGUAUCAGAAGCAACUUCCAGUGUAGCACAGGGGAAGCUACUGCUGGAAAAAAUAAAUCUAAAAAGUUCCAUUGUAUAUGUGCAUGGCUACAGAUGCAUGUAACAAUAAGCCUUGUCAAAUCAAGAUCUUGUCCACAAGACCCAUAAGACUUUCAUUCAAAUCAUAAUAAUUGAUGGUUUCUCUUGGGCUUAGUGAUAAUUGUCUCUCAGAUGUGGGACAGAGUAAUUGAAAGGAAAUAAACUAUGAAGACUCCUAUAUUUCGGGCAACGACAAGUGCUUGGGCAGCCUGGGUCUCUUGAGCAACGGGGCUCACUGGAAGAUAUAUCAGUUGUCUAAGAUGUGCAAGUGGUUGGCUUGUAUCAGGAUCCUGCUCAACCCAGAAGAACCACCUUAAGGAAGAACCAUGAGACCCCACUGAGAAUCCCAGUACAGCAGAAGUCCCAAGGCAGCCUGAAGUGCCUUAAACUCAGAGAAGGUGGUAGUGUGGAUAUAAGCUUUUCUCAGUCUCCUCUGAACUCAUGCUGGGUUCAGUCCUCUAACCCAUUUGCACAGCUCCAGAUUGCUGUGGCUCAGUUCCUGCCACCCGAGAUGCUUGUAAUGGGCACUUUGUCAGAAGAAUCAAGUGUAUGUGUACAUGUAUGUGAUGAACCUGGAUACAGUAGGUGAAAUCUAAUGCCAUGUUUGCCCUUUACAUUCAGGGUACUAAACCUUUAGGUUGCUCUUCUAUUUUUUGAUUAAGCUAAAUGAUGAAGUUGAUGUUAAUUGGCCCGACUGACAUUUUGUCAAAGUUUUAGCCAUCAGCAAAAUGAAUAAAAUAGCAUUGGUUAUUAUGUUCAGCAAAGAAUAGUGUGCAGAAGCUGUAACUUCCUACAACAGGGAAGGAGAGGAUGGUGUUAACUUGCCCUAAGAAUGCUUCUAAACAUGAUCCUGUAAUAACAUAUAACAGGGCUAACAGCUAAGCCAAUUGGAAUUAAUUCUCUAAGUCCUUUUUUGAAAUCAAGUUACACCUUGCUUAUAUUCUCUUCUAAGUAGAUUUCUGCCAAGAUGUGUAAACUAUGAUUAAGCUAUUGGUUGAUUAUUGCUGAAACCAGAUCCCCCCUCCCAUUUAUUAAAUGCAACAUUUUCUCUUUGAGAGGAAUGAGUCCAUCUCUUUCUUUUCUAUAUUUCUAAACUUAUCAGGUUCUCCGUAUAAUCUGAACAAUAUUUACCACCCUCAUAAUUAAAUUAGCCAUGACACAAUAAUGGUCUUAGAAAGUGAAUUGACUAGCCUGUGCCAGGGUGCCUCUGCACCCCUGCCAAGAUUCAAAGACAACAGCUCUGACUCUCUGCGUCGACUGUCCAACAGCUUUGUAUAGCGGAUUAACUAGUGCUUUAGAACUCCUGCUUGGCUUCAGGUGCUUCAACUAUUGUUGGCUGCAAGACCUUAACUAGAGGCAUGGAUCUUAAAAUGGUUACACCCUCCCAUAGCAGGGUUGAAGACUUUUCUCAAUGUGCCAUUUCCAAAUGAUUCCUCAAACAACAUUGCUAAGUGGCUUUCAGACAAAUCAGAUAAGCACUAAUAUGACCCCAAUGAAGGCAGACAUUACAGGUUGUAUGGGGGGGGGAGUGUACUGAGUUGGCAAGUUCUUUAAAGAGAAAGCAAGUAGUUAAUUAUGUACAGCCCCCAGGAAUUGAACUCUAGUGUGUUGAGGAUCUUAUUUCAAAUCAAGAAUCCUGCAAAGAAUAUUUGUGGUUUUCAGCAUCUCAGCAUUCUGGAGAAAGAGUAGGUGACAAUCAGAUCUUAUCUGUCCUUGAAUUAUAACAGGGCAUGAGUUGCCAUGGGAUGUAAUGGUUUCUUUUAAACAAUCUUGCCAUCAUAUCCUAGGUCCAGAAGAGCUGGACCUUUAAGGGGCUUUUGCUACUACCACAGGUGCAGACUUUAAAAGAAGGGGAAAGCUGAUGACAUGUAAAAGCUUUUACGGUGGGAGCUAAAUCGCUGGGAUAAAUCCAAGCACCUUUAAACCUGUCCUUCCUGUGACUCUUACUAUCAACCCGCUUCAGCUGCAAGUUACAUUAAACUGCGCAAGAAUAAAAGACAAUCCAUUUCAGACCUAAAUGACUUAGACAGAUGCUCUGCUGCCUCACUCUCUCUGCUAGGAAACCAAUUACUAUGUUCUGUGUGAGAAACGUUUUUACUAAUACUGCAGGAUGUUGAUAAAAAAACCCUUUGGAAGAGGGGAGGGGCUGAAAAGGCCAGGCUUCUAGCGUUCAGGUGAAGGCCAUGCAAAAGAACUGCAUGUAGAGAGUAGGCUGCUGAUUAUGGCACUUGUACAGAACUAGAAGGAAAACGAGACUGGUGUUAUAAUUGCAGGCAUGCUUAUGGUAGUCUUGUUGAUGUAAUUGGGGCUUACUUCUGAAUAAAUUUGUGUAGAAUAAGGUUGCAAGGGUUUAUCUUUUAUCUCGCAAUAACUUCCUAAUAGUUAUCUAUUUAUUUUGCAAGUUCAAGAAAAACAAGGUUCUGUUGCCAACAGAAUUUGAUUGUUCUGUCGCUUAGAAAUAAAAACAGGGCAUUCUGUGAAACAAUGUAAACUUAUAUGCUGUUUAAAAGAAAAGGUUCCCAGAAAUGUUAGCAUAUAAGGCAACCGGGUGGCACAUCGCUGAUGAAAUGUAUAAAUUUUUCAGUCUUAUCAAUGUCAGCCCAUAGUAUCUACUAAAGAAGAUUAGCAAAGAAAAGGAGUCAAUAUGUCAAUAGGAAUCCUGGGUCUCCCCCCCCCCCAUUCACAGUUAGACAUAUGACUAUGAGUUCUAAGGGGCAGCUUGCUCAUGCCAAUUCCCUUUCAGUGAUGAAGUUUACAACCUCUCCAGUUACUAUUUAAGAUGUGCUAGUGAUGUACAACAGGUCUUCACACUACAAGUAAUGUGAUUAAAAGCACAAGAGCAAGACCGUAAUCUUAUUACACUGGAAUUAUGCUUUGGCAAGAGCUGUUUCAUUCUGUUAUUUGGUCAUUCACUUCCACUGUCUGCUUUGUUUUCUGCUUUACCUUCUCACUCUCCAUAGCUAUUUACAACUGAAGGUCCCCUUCCUCCUAUAUAAAAGUACCAAAGAGCUGAGUGAUAUGGUUGCCACCACCCUCCAAGUCUAAAGCUCUUAUACUCUGGUCCCUUCACUCAGCAUUUGAUAUACGGAAGCCUGUCAAUGGUGUCAACCAUGCAACCAUUUGUGUACACUCACAAGAAUCAAAGAUCUUUAGGAAGUGGAGCAAUCUGCCACCUCAUGGGAUUCACAGGUUUCUUCUUGCCAGUCACCAUUCCAUUUAAAUGUCUAUGGGGGCAAGCCAUUUGGGGAGCCAUGAUUCAACCCCCAGAUAUGGUUGCAGGGUCAGGAAAAGUUUACAGUGAUGGCUACAAAGGAUCUUACCUUUUCCCUUCUUCUUCCCCUUCAUGUGAAAGCUGCUGGGUUCAGCAGUACGGCAGCAACAGCAGAGCUCUGGCCACCCUCCUGCUUCCUUCCCAGAGGGCCAGUCACAGAGUUCUGCUGCUACCAAGCUGUCAAAGAUGCCAGCAAGUUUCAGUCAUUUUUUUAAAAAAGGAAGAGGAGAAAGGGUAAGAACCCACUACCACCACUGUAAGCCUGUUCCCUCCCACUGAAACUGUGUGAAGAACAGUUAUUUAUGCUGUCCUGCUUUCCUAUCGUGAGAUUUGCACAAAAUGCCCUUCCCACAUCAAACAAAUCCUGAAACAAAGAGAAAGGAAGCAGUUUUAGUCCCUGUCCAAGUUACAGGGUAUUUUAUACUCUCAUACACAAAUAUACAGAUUUUUAAUGUUCACUGCAGCACUAACUUGGGUAGCAAGAACAUGUUUUGAAGGAAGAAUAUGUUGGAUGGUUGACAAGAGGUCAGUUUUCUCUGCUUUACUGCUUUUGGUGCCCCAGUCAGUGAUGGAUUGCUCUGCAAAGCAGUUGUGGUCUUGUGUCCAAUUCUCCCCCCUUCCUGCAUACAUUUGAUUCUUCUGAAGAGGCAAGAAAGCACUUAUACAGCUUGGACAAAUGAUAAACAGUAAACCUGCAACUUACUCUGCUUUCACUUACGCGAUGGCAGGUUUGCUUGGAGUGGGGGAAUGAAUGAAUGAAUGAAUGAAGAGCACGGAAAAACCCACCAUUCCCUGCUGUCCAUUUAUUUAUUUCUGUCUCCUAUGUGUCCAUAAAUCCCCCAUGAAUUUUCCUCAUGGCAUUGUUGAUUUUAAGAUUAUGAAAUAGGGGGAAACAUAAAUUGAUUGAAUUUAUCUGUUUCUUUGUCAUUUAUAUUUCUUUGCAGUUUCUAGGACAAUAAAUGGGAGCACCUCUUACUCCCCAGGAAACAAAAAUAGAAUCACAUUGCUAAAAAUUCCCGACUGCGUAUUUGGGUGUUAAACCAAAACUACAGGAAAGCUGAAAAAAGCAGAAUAAACUGAUUUCUCCCCACUGAGACCUGCUGCCAAAUUGCACAGAUCCUCUUUAAACUGAAGUUAAAAAAAUAAAUAAAUAAAAGACAGGGCUAAGCUUACAGGAGAAUUAUCAUUCCAAGCUAUUCUGCUCGGGCAUUAGACACUGAAACAAAAGCCAGGCAUGAAAGUGGAAAUGACAGUCUUAUUCCACAAAGCUGAUACGAUCAGUUUCCCUGGGUACUUUAUUCCAGAUUAUGAAAACAGAAUGACAGCUACACCAGCUUCUAGGAUGAAAGACAGAAAAUUGCUGCAUACAGUUCUACUGCUUUGAGAACAUUUUCUAAAUUGCAAAGGAAAGUGCUCUGAAGAAUUUUUGCAGGCCUUUGUACCUUUUCCCUACUCUGACUUAACUGUAUCCAUAAGACCAAAGGGCAAUGGAAGUUUCUUUUCCACCCCAAAAUGACAGAAGCUUAAACAGCUCAACGGAUCAUUUCCAUGAGGACUUACGCCACAAAGAAUUGAGAUUUGCCGUGUUAGAUCAGCUUUAUAGGAAGCCUCAGCAGAGGCAACAGCUAUCAGCUGUCAGAACAGAGCCACAAUUGUUGGUUUAGCAAACAACUGGUGAUAAGACCUUAGCUGACAAAGAUUCAGAAUACAGGGAUGUACUUUUGCAUUUCAGGAAUACACUGGUGUGUCUUCCCUAUUAUCUUUUUUUAAAAUAACAACUUGCUGGUAGCAGGGAGGUUGUCUGUGGGUGCAUAACGUUCACAUAAUCUGCCCUGGACAUGUACAGUUGCCAACUUUUUUGACUGGUUCCGCUUCUGAUACAGUGGUACCUCAGGUUAAGAACUUAAUUCGUUCCGGAGGUCCGUUCUUAACCUGAAACUGUUCUUAACCCGAAGUACCACUUUAGCUAAUGGGGCCUCCUGCUGCCGCUGCACGAUUUCUAUUCUCAUCCUGAAGCAAAGUUCUUAACCUGAGGUACUAUUUCUGGGUUAGCGGAGUCUGUAACCUGAAGCGUCUGUAACCCGAGGUACCACUGUAUAUACUAAGUCAAGAACUGCAGCUUUUUGCCAUCAUUUACCUCUGAGAAACACAAAACUUCACCAGAUUAAUUUCAACAUGUCGGGCUGACAUGACAGGUACAUAAACAAGUUCAGAUUCUAAAAGCUAGCAACCAUUUGAAAAUUACUCGAUAAUGGAAAGAAUGGUAUACAGUGGUUAUAAACACACAUAUAAUCAACUAGCAAGUCAAUACAGUGCUAUAGAAAUACAGCUGUGUAAAUGGUACCACAAAUGUCAUUGAAUGGGAGAUCUAAGAAAUUGGUAUUAUUAUUAGUAGCAGUAAUAUUAAAGCAGGACCUCUGUGGCCAAUCAUAAUAAAUGCAUACUGGUAGCCAUUUACAGUGGAAGCUUGGUUCUUGAACGCCUUGGUACUCAAACAUUUCGGCUCCCGAACGCCGAAUACCUGGAAGUACGUGUUCCAGUUUUCAAAUGUUUUUUGGAAGCUGAAUGUGGCUCCUGGCUAUCGUUUCCGGGGCGCCUGCACCAAUCGGAAGCCACGCCUUGGCUUUUGAAUGUUUCAGAAGUUGAACGGACUUCCGGAACAGAUUACAUUCGAGAACCAAGGUACCACUGUAGUUAAAAAGCUGGGGGGGGGGGGUUCACUCUUUAUAUUGAGCUGAGCAUAUGGGAAAAGAAGCCAAACUUCACCUCCCCUUCUACCAUACCUCCUUAUCUAUAACUGCCUUCAGGCACUUCUUCUCAGCUCAGUUCAUUUCCGGUACAGUGGUACCUCGGGUUAAGUACUUAAUUCGUUCUGGAGGUCCAUUCUUAACCUGAAACUGUUAUUAACCUGAAGCACCACUUUAGCUAAUGGGGCCUCCUGCUGCUGCUGCGCCGCCAGAGCACGAUUUCUGUUCUCAUCCUGAAACAAAUUCUUAACCCGAGGUAUUACUUCUGGGUUAGCGGAGUCUGUAACCUGAAGUGUAUGUAACCUGAAGCGUAUGUAACCCGAGGUACCACUGUACUGCUGCAUGUGUGUGGCGGUAUAAAGUUCUGUUCCCUUCCCCCAUAUGGUUUGAUAUAAAGUGUGUCCCCCCAAUUCCUGCUUUAUGGCCAGUGCCUCUGGAAACUUUGCACUACAACUCCCAUCAUCCCUGACCUUUGGACCUACUGGCUGAGGUGUGGUCCAAGACAUUUUGAGAGUACUAGGAUAAGGAAAGCUCCCCUAAAUUGCUGUGCUCACCAAAUGUUCAAUAAGCAAAAAUAAUAAUGCUUGGGAUUAACCCAAUUGACUCUGAUGCUCCCAGUGCACAGUGCUCCAAUGGCUCAUUGAGAUGCUCAUCCCAUUAGCUAGGUUCAAAAGGUUGUGUGAAAUCUACUGCAUGUUCUUGGGAAUUUUAAAGCUUCCUUCCCAGCACUUGCCCUCAAAGCCCCAAAGGCUAGGGGCCCACUGUUGUGGCAUUCCAUAAACUGUGGGGCACUGCUGCACACAGGGAUUCUUGGGAUACUGGCCACUAUGAUAAAGAUAAAGAUAAAGAUAAAGAUAAAGAUAAAGAUAAAGAUAAAGAUAAAGAUAAAGAUAUCUACAAGGCCUCCGAAUUAGAAGAUAUGAUUUCUCAACUCUGCUUAAAGAUUGGAUUUCUGCUGUUGUCCAUACAUGUUUCCACAGCCCAGACCUUCUUCCCCUCUUUUCUUUUCUUUUCUGUUGUGCUGCUUCCUCAUCCAUGGUUAUGCCACAUUUAAUUUUACAGUCCUUGCUGUUAACAGCCCAUGUUGUUAACUCAUUAUGACAAUCCACUUUCUUUCAUCAUUGUUCACAUAAUUCAUCUAGAAAUCACUGCUGAGGCUGGUCUUCAGUGCCGAACCUCAGUGUUUACAGGCAGGUCUUCUGAUAAAAGAUUGUACCAGGUAAUUAUAAGAAUUAAUGCAAAAAUCUGAUAGAUGGAAUGUCAAAAUAUAUGAGCCAGUAGGACUUUCAUUGAAUUCAGAGGGCCCCCCAAAAGUGCUUGCAUUUAAAGGAUAGGAAUUUAGGUGUCUGGGGGCGGGAGAGCUUCUGACAUAGGCUACUGGGUUUUAUUUGUAUAGUUUUGUUAACCCACAGCCAUGGAAAGGUAGGUGAGCAGAUAUCUAUAACUUGUGAAGACGAUUAAAUUGUUCUAUAACUGUACAUGACUGAGGAAGUCAUAUCUCAAAGCAGUGAUAACAGUAAAAGUCAUGCUUCUAUUUGGCUUCCCUACAAGAAUAUUACCAAGUAACGUUGUUUCACUACACUAUUUAUAAUCAGCAUAGCAUCAACUAAGUAGGCGUUAUUGCUAAAAAGAAACGAUUGCAUCAGUUCAUCUCUACCUUGGGUUUACAACAUCAAAGUUGAGCUGCCACAGAGUUAUGAACUAUAUCAGUAAAUAGGCAGCAGGAAUGGUGCAUUGGUCGAUAUAUUUAUUGCCAGUCUUUAAAACUGUUGGGCUUAACUUGAUAAAGACUGGAAAUUCCUUCUAAGUAGCUCCAUCUUUCAAGCCUUGUUAUUAGCAGACACUAAAUGACAUCAUCUCACAGCUCUCAGACUUGAGAUCAAUACUGAACGUUUUCACUGUGAAAAAAAUCUAUUUCUUCAAUCUUGAAUGUUUUGUUAUAUACUGACUAUCUUCUGAUGAUGCACAAUUAGAACAGUGGGAAAGUAAAUCAGUGUGAUAUUUUUAAUACCUACAACUAGAGAUGUUGGAGAAUUCUAACAAAAAUGGAAAUGGGAGUGGAAAUUUUGAAUGUGCAGUUAUUCGUACCAUGUCCAGAGCAGAAAUCGAUCCAAUGAUUACAACUGGUAUUCACUGUCAUUGCUGUCAGUCCCAAACAAUAUAUAAUUUAUUACAUACCACACUCCCAAUUUAUACUGCAUUUCCUUUGCACUGAAAUGAGUGGGAUCGAAUAACGUAUAUUAUGAAGUAAUAUGCAUAUGGUUAGCCACCAUGGGAAUCAGGAUGCUCUUGGUCUGAUCCAGCAGGGCUCUUGUUAUGUACUUUGGCUUCUGGUCUCCCAGUACAGGGUUUAUUAUCACAAGUGUUUUCAGGAGGAUUUACAGUACCAAACAAAGAUGAUGAUCACCAUAAUCAUACAUCUCAAAAAUACAGGUGAUGUAAACAAAAAAAACAGUGGGAAGGCUGGCUACAGACUUGCACUCUACAGAACUAUAUUAAUCCAGUUCUGUUGCUGUUCUAGAAUUUAUGGUAUUUGUUUUAACGUCACAAAUUAUUCCUGAAGUUCCUCACAAAACUGAUGCCCUCUCAAAUAGUUAUCAGCAUGGAAUAAUACAAUUUGCCAGGAAAAAAAGGAAACACAGGCAGUAUCUUGAAUUUCAAUUAAGCCUAUGCCACCACUAGGGUAAACACAGCAAGGCUGCACACAAGGCCAAUCCACAGAAGUGAGAAGAUGUUUGUUAUGCAGUCAUGCACAGUGUUGAGCACCUUGCAUUUUAGCGAUUUAAAAAACCUGAUGGAGCACAACACAGUAUCAGUACUUAGGAAGAAAGUAAGUAUUUUCUCACACUGCAAAAUGAGAAAUGCCUUUCUAUAUCUCUUAUGGUAAAAAAAAGAAGAAGAAGUUGGGGAAUUUAGAGCAGUUUUGAAAGCAGAAAAAAACAGGGCAAGGACAAAGAUACAAUGCCAGCAAGAUCCCAGGAGACCAUCUUAUCUUCUUCUGCUCUGGAAACUUAGAAGGUAAAACAAAUACUUCCGUGUGUGGGCUAUUGAAGAUGAUACUAGCAAAGUAGAUACAACUUGUCUUCCUUGGGGGGUCUGGCUCAUACUUAAAAGAGAGAAAGAGAAAAAGAAACACCACAUAGGAGCAGGAUGGUGAGAGGUAUCAAGAAAGUCUCCCCACCAGCAGCAGCUCACUGAGCUCUUAAAUAUCUUGUCUUCUUAUUUUAACUUCAAGAGAGAACUCAACUGAACAUGGCUAAAGAACCUAAGCAGAAAAAGAUAACAAAUUAUGACAAUAUAUUGUUCACAGAGUAUGCAGAACGUAGCAUCCUAUAGGGAGAAAAUUAUUGCUCUCUUUUGCAAACAGUAACUACAAGUAUGACAAGCGCAAUGGAGCAUGCCCUAAGUACUCACAGGGAACAUUCUGUUGGGGAUAGAGAUGUUAGGGUUAGCAGCCCAAACACUGGAUCACUACUUAAUUAGUCCCAGCUAUGGCAAAGAGGGGAAGCACUAGCCAGUGGGGAGAGGCUAUUUAUAAAGCUGAACUGUGAAUUCAUGAAAUGGGACUGGGGAAUUGUAGGAAGACUGGAAACUAAGCUGGCUGAGGGGUGGAUGAUAGUCCAGCUUCUGAACUUUAAUAAUCAUUCAAACAUAUUAUAUCCAAUGUUCCUUUGCAAUGCUAAAUGGCACUUGAGAAGCAAUGUUACGUGUUAUUGUACAAUGACUCACUAAGACUUUAUGCAAAAUGUUUAUCUUUUAUUUUAGAAUGCUAGAACAUUUCCUUUCCUUAAAAAAAUGUUAUUGAUUUUAAAUAGACAAAAUGUACAAAACAAAACCCACCAAGUAUAUAAUUUCAAAAACAUUAAGUGUACACUUGAUUGGAGAUAUAAUUAUGUCCUUUUUCUAUUAUGUCUUUCAGGUCUACAAAGCUUUUCCUAUAUAUCGUUCUUAUCUCAGAGUUUGCAAGCAAUCAAAGAGCUCCAGAUCUAGCAUCCCUUUCCUAAGGGCCAAACUACACAUGAUGAUGUUCCAUGACUAGAGCUCCAGUAUAUUUUUCUUGUCCAAAAAGCAGUGGGGGCUACAGCAGGGGGAGAGGGGUGUUGUUGAUGAUGAUUCAUUGAUUCAACUUGGCUGGGGCUAACAGCCCUGAUCCAGACUGGGUUCCCCUCCUGCUACUAUGUGAACAACAACAACAAAAGUCAUUGGGAGCUCUAAACAUGGAAAACCCACAUCACAUCUAGUUUGGCCCUUAACUGCACCUAACGUAUGCCUUCUGCUUCUACUGAUAACUAUUUAUCUAAAAAUCAAUACAUAUCACACGUCAUCACACACCUUUUAUUUUCUUUUAAUAUAAAAUUAUAAUAUUAAUUCAUGUAACCUGUAAUACAAGCUGUGUAUUAUUUAUUUAUUUAUUUAUUUAUUUAUCAUCAUCAUCAUCAUCAUCAUCAUCACUAUGUUGCCCUUCAUCCAAAGAUCACAUAAACAUACCAUAGUAGCAAACAAAAACAAGACCCCCAAAUUUAAAAGGCCAUGGAUUGUUUAAUUAGCCAAAGGCUAACUAUUACCCCCCAGCCCCAGAGAUCUGUACAUUCUUUUCCUAAUUUAACCUCCCUCCUAUGAAAUUCAAGGGAACUGUAUUUUCUUCUUCUUUACUGUUGAAACUGUGAAUCAAAUGGGAAGAUAGGUUUUUUCUUGCAAAAUGCCCAAUGAAGUUUAUUAUUAUUUUAAUAUAUAUGCAACACUUAAUCCGAUGGUAAUACGUCACAAGCCAAUAAUUAUUACACUUGCUAUCCAGUUUUAAAUUUGUUUUUCCUCUUAAUCCAUUCUCAAAAAAUAAUUUAAGGAUGUAAACCUUCAACCUUAUAUUGUACAUCAGAAUAUUGAAGAAAAACUCUAUUGAUUAAGAUGUUACUAUGGAUCUAUGUACACACUUCAUAACAGAGAAUGCCUCAAAUCUAUGAAAAACUCCUAUUGAUUUGUCUGCCUUAAUUAGGUGGAUUCAGCCAAUCAUGAGAAAAAGACACAAGAUUUAUAGAUUGUCAAAUCCUUCCACUUCUUACUGUUCCCUUAGCAGAAUUAGGAUUUCAACAAACCAUUUUAUUUCAGCCUAACAUAGUAACCCUUAUGCCAGAACUGCCCCCAGUUUGUCACUGACUCAGACACAUUUAUGUGAGAUAAUCCUGCACUGAAGCAAAUUAUGAUGAGGCAUCAUUUCAUGAAGCUUUAGGAACGACUUGGUCUGAACUGGACACGGUAUCUGCAUGUCAUGGCGCUUUCAGAGAUAUGUGAAGCUGAGGUUGAGGAGUCACAAGUGGGCACAAGGUUAUGCAAGUUCACUGAACUGCGAGACCCCUUGGCUCAUGCUCUGUGUCAAGAUGAUAUAAGAUCUCCCAAAGGAAACGGAUUACAAUGAUUCCUUUUGGCCAUUAGGAUGAAUAUGUUCUCAUUAAUCUUACAGAGACAGCCAACCGAAGAGUUCACUAAUGUGACAAAGCAGGAUGUUUACAAGAGUUUGUAUAGUUAUAGGAUAGCUUAUUCUUUGCUUAAUGUACAUGGUACCUGCUAUGCUACCGGCCACUAGACCAGCACUUACUCCAGCAUAAUCUAAUUGUGCUUCUGUGUGGUAGUGUCAGCCAAAGUUGGUAAUUAAGUGCUUCAGAGUAUUAAUUUGCUCUACUCAUAAUGCUUGGAUGCAUCUGGAAUGAGUUCUGGCAGCAGCACAGAAGAAUGAGUUUGCUAGCCUUUUUGUUGUUGUGGCAUGGCUCCUAUGUCUUUGAAAGCUGCAGAAAACAAUGCAGUAACAGGUGCAGCAUUUCCCCAACACUGCGCCUCCAUGCUGGAUAUAGUUGCACCUAUUUCAUUUCAAUCUACCAUGUACAUUUGAAAGGUACUGGAGCCCUCGGAAGCGGGGACAAAUGAUUCUGUCCAUUUCUGCUUCUCUGACUUUCCAAUUUUUCAAAUUUUAAGCUCAGCUGAUCGCAAUAUCUGCACAAGUUUGCAAAAAAAGUCAUGAAAAUUCAUCGGUAUUUCAGUUCACAUUUCUCCUAAUAUGUACAUUUUAAAUGAAUUUUUGGCUUUUUCAAGCAAUUUCCCCCACUUUAUGCACGCCCCCUUCAAUAUAGUAAUUUUUGUGCACAUUUUUAUUAGAAGAAUCGCAUCGUAAAAUUCAGAGGACAGCUGUGUUUCAGUUCGCAUAGUGUGAAGCAGGUAGGCUUGCACUAAAAUGUAAAGCAAAGCAAAUUUCUCCCCCACCCUGCUUGGAGGAAGGAGGUGGCAAAGCUGUUCAGGAGAGCAGCUGGCCUGUGAUGACGCGCCAUGAUUGGCCAUGGAACUGAUUGCUAUCCUAUCUUUGGAUGUGACUGGGAAGCAGCAUGGGAGAGAGUCACCUGGUGCUCUCCAAUGGGAAUGGCUUUACUUCUUCUGCAAAGAUUGUGUUGGAAGCUAGGAGAAAACCCUAAAUGAACAAUGCCAACCCAGCAUUGUUCAUCCUCAUAAGCUUCCCCUUCCACCUACAUUUCAGUUUCUAGGAAAUGCUGAACUGCUCCCACCAGGUUAAAAGCGGUAGUGCGAAUUCCAAGGCUUCAGCCUUAAGAAUGUAUGCUGGUGAAAGAAAGUUAUUUGUUACUUAUUUUGUUUCCUCUGAAAAGUGAUAUAUGCUCUGUCACUAACUGUGUUCCUUUUCCUGUGGGAGAUUGCAGCAGUAUUUAGACAUCAUAGUAGCACACUGUGGACUUACAUACUCUCCCCUUCCCUUUCUUCCUCCACAGUGUCCAAAAGGGGGUGUUCUGAAGCUUUCCCUUCCACUUUUGCUUAACUACAAGCUUGUUGUGUUGUCAGAACUGACAAGCUGUGAUUAAUGUUAACUAUUUUUUUAAAAAGAACACCAAACCAACUUAAUUCAAUUAUGUAUAAUCUAUCACUAAUUUCCUCAAAUGGCAACAACAUCUAUCCAUAUUAAUUCAAGAGGAAUAUGCUUCAUUUAUACAUAGUUCAUGCUGCUACUUCUGUGGAAUUAAACUUCAGCAGACCCACUCUGCUUUGCUGAUGAAAAGAAUGUAGCAGUCUUUCCAUAUUGCCUUAAGUAAAUCUGGAAAUUUCUUCCUUUGUAAAAGAAAUAAUAAUAAUACAUUAAUUUAUUAUUUAUACCCCGCCUAUUUGGCUAGGCUUCCCCAGCCACUCUGGGCGGCUUCCCAAAAAAUAUUUUUUUGGCCUUGACCAUAGUGUACUCAAAAGCAACUAAUCACGAACUGCUUGUGGGCCUCGGAUGCAAAUGCAUCUGCCAACAUCCUUGAAUACUGGCUGUGCUGGCUGAGGCUGAUGGGAGCCAAAUUCCAACAGUAUCUAGAGGCAGCGGCGGAAGAAGCCACUUGGGCAUCUGGGGCAGCGUGCCCAGGGGUGGGGCGCAGCCCGAGGACUCCGAAGUCUGCCUGCCUCCUCCCACUCAGCCGCCCUACAGUCACUGGCGGAGGAAGAGGAGUGCGGGGGGAGCGUACCACCCUCGGCAGCGUGAUCCCGGUGGGGUGCCAUCGCAGCUGCCCCUCUGUCUGCGCUGGGUGCCCCACCCCCAGGACACGCGCCAUGCCCCUGUGGGCAGUGCACCCCACCCCCAGGACGCAUGUCACUCCCCUGUGGGCGGUGCACUCCGCCCCCGGGACAUGCACCAUGCCCCUGGGACGUGCGCCAGCCCCGCGCCCGCCUCCUCUUCGCCCCCCUACAGCUGUGGGGGAGGCAGUGGGCGGACCGUUUGGGCGCACACGGAGCCUGUGCAUGCCCAGGAGAGACGCGUGGCUUGGGCACGCUGCAGGCCCCACGAUGAGUGCCGCCUGGCUUCAGUGGUGACACCCGGGGCAGUCUGCACCCACCGCACCCCCUUCCUCCGCCUCUGUCUGGAGGGUACCAGGUUGGUUACCUGCAGUAGGCUGGAUGAAUAGCAUGAUGCUGCAGAUGGAAAUGUACAGGGCAACAUGCACAGAAUGGUGCUUACACAUGUGGAUCUCUCAUGCUGCAGAUCUAUCCAGGGAGGCACAGCUUGAUCUCUAAAACUAUCAAAAUCUUCAGUAUGGCUUUCAUAUCAGAUCCACUGCCAGAACACCACUUAUUACUGGUGAAGUGUGAACCCGUAAGUAAUGGGGGGGGGGAUUUUACACAUCAUUCUGGUGGCAUUUCUACAGGAAAUGACUAAUGCGAACAAGCCUGUAUUGUCUUGUGAAACGAAAUGUGGUAGAAUUUCUCCACAUAAGCCAUGUCAAUGCACUACAAACACAUCACUUCAGAAUAAAAAAUUGAAACCUCUAUUACAGUGCCCAAGAUCAUUUUGCCUGCCAAUCCCAAUAAACUGAACAUUUCGAGGUGUUCCUUCAAAGCUGCUGCUACAGUGCCUAGGCUGAAGUCUUAUUACCAUUUACAUUGACUAGAAAAUUAAUCUUGAUGUCAAUUACUAUUAAAGAAAAGUCCAGCCAGCUGCCAUGGAUAAAUCUUGUUAACCACAAACUGAAUUACUCUACAGGGUCUAGGCUGAUUCGAGCUAAACUAAACAACACAAGAGGUUUUCUUAAUUAAUUAAAAUAUAUGCUUAGCUUUAGGGUAAGCUUCCACAUUGGUGCUAGUAUAGCAUUUGUGCCGUGAAUGCUCAGCAGCCUGUUGAAAAUAUGUAGUUUGUCAGUUGUGCAAUUGCUAGUACUGUAAUACUUGCAGUAAACAUGACCGCCAGGAUCUUGAACUGCACUAAAGACCCAUUUAGCAUCUCCCGGUGACACAGAUCAUUGCUGCACAUCUUGUGCAACUGGGCUCAAUUUGAGGUUGAGUCUUGCCAGGCCUCAGCCCCACAACCUCUUUUAAAUGCUAGGGAAGUAUAAUAAAGAGAGUCUCUAAGCAUAUUCAGAGUGCUUUUCUUUGGGAGGGGAGAAAUCAAGGUGCUCAGAUUCGCCGGCUCCUAGACUGAGAUGAGCCAGAGUUCAAUCCUGUUUGUAAAAUUAAGCAUCAUGCUUCUAAGUGCAAGAGGUCCACCCAAAUAGGAGGAGCAUAUUUUGAAGUUAUGACACUUGCAUAGGAAGAGGGAUGGACAACUUGGUGCCCUCAAGAUGCUGAUGGACUCCAACUCUCAUCAGCCCCAGUCAAAGGUCACUGAUAAUAGCAGUUGUAGUCCAACAACAUCUGAAGGGCACCAUGUUGAAUGUCCCUGCUGCAGAACUAUACACAAUGCUACUUCAGUAUACAAAAACGCUGUUUCAGAUAACUGUUCCACCUCUUUAAGAUGAGGGUUUUUUUUAGCCUCCUCUACUAAACUACACACAUGCAAAUGUUACAUCACAAACAGCUGUCCAGGACCCAUAUUGUGACAAUUACUGUCCAUGCAGGUGAAGCUGUGAACAGACUGGUAUUCUCAUAGAUGCUGUCAAAAUCCUUGGAGUCUAAGGUCUUGUUUGCACUCUUGUCAUUUUCAUUUUAUUCCAUUGUUUCAGUUCCAGUCGUCCUGAAAUAAUCUUUAUGUGUUUCCUUGAUACACACUUCCCCCUCCAAGAUUUACAAGAGUCAAAAGUGAUUUUUUUGCUGAAUUUGCUCCAGUGGCCAUAUGGACAUAUGGACCCCAACAGGUAUUACUCAAUUUACCGAAAAAAGUAAGGGUGGGUUAAGCAAAAUUACAUUUGAAAUAUUCUGUGCUUAUUUGGCUCACACACUUUAAAUUAUGGUAGUGUUCUGAUCAGACUCACAGUUCAAUAGGAUAGCAAGGGAAACAGAAGGCUAUAUCUUUUUUUCUUAAGACUGUGGAGUCUUAAGAAACAAAAAGUUUCAGGAAAUUGGAUUUGAAACACAGGAGCAGAUACAAGAGUUGCAGGAGCAACCUUCUUUAUAAGACUUCUGCCAAGCCAGCCUAAUCUUUUAAUUAGCUCAGCCACUGAUUUUAAUCAGAAAGGAAUGAGAAUUUUAGCACAGCACACAAAUAUUUGAUUUUGGGAGAUGUGCAGGGAUGGAUGGACAGCUUGAUCUCCACACUUGUUGCAGUAGAUAUGCAAUGUGAACUGGUGGUAUUUUUUGUUAUUAUCAGAAUAAUUCACAUUUCUUCUUCUAUUUCUUCUUCCUGUUCCUUUUUGUGUGUGUUAAAUUUUGAAAAAUAAUAAUAAAAGGAAAGUGUCCCAAGGGGAAACGUUUAAGCACUCCUCCAUCUUCUCCAAACUAGGCCUUGUUCUGUAUGCAACUUCUUCUUUUUAAUCAUUUGGAGGUGCAUCUCUUGAGUGUUUCAUCUCAUUUGGCCCUGAGGCCAUAAUCCAGAAGGCACGAGCACACAUGUUUCUCUUUGAAAAAUGAAUAUACCAGCACUGCCGUACACCAUGUCACAUUAUAAAGUGCUUUUUAAACUUCUGGUGUUUAUGUUAUAUACAGCUGCAACAUGUAUAUAUUGCAGCUACCGAUUUGCCAUUUGCAAAAGCAAAAAAGAAAACCCACCCACAUUGGAUGUGCUGAGCUAUUCAUAGGAUUCCCCAUGGGCUGUGGCCUGAGGGUUUCCUCCUUGUUUGUCUUUCCAUCUCUUUUCUCCUCUUUCUAAACGAAUAUCAUUCUUUUAGAGCUGCUUCCUUGUUGUUGUUUAGUCGUGUCCGACUCUUCGUGACCCCAUGGACCAGAGCACACCAGGCACUUCUGUCUUCCACUGUCUCCUGCAGUUUGGUCAGACUCAUGUUUGUAGCUUCGAGAACACUGUCCAACAAUCUCGUCCUCUGCCGUCCCCUUCUCCUUGUGCCCUCAAUCUUUCCCAACAUCAGGGUCUUUUCCAGGGAGUCUUCUCUUCUCAUGAGGUGGCCAAAGUAUUGGAGCCUCAGCUUCACGAUCUGUCCUUCCAGUGAGCACUCAGGGCUGAUUUCCUUAAGAAUGGAUGCAUUUGAUCUUCUUGCAGUCCAUGGGACUCUCAAGAGUCUCCUCCAGCACCAUAAUUCAAAAGCAUCAAUUCUU